GAUGAAGAACGUAGCGAAAUGCGAUAAGUAAUGUGAAUUGCAGAAUUCAGUGAAUCAUCGAAUCUUUGAACGCACAUUGCGCCCUCUGGUAUUCCGGGGGGCAUGCCUGUUCGAGCGUCAUUAUAACCACUCAAGCUCUCGCUUGGUAUUGGGGCUCGCGGUUCCGCGGCCCCUAAAAUCAGUGGCGGUGCCUGUCGGCUCUACGCGUAGUAAUACUCCUCGCGAUUGGGUCCGGUAGGUCUACUUGCCAGCAACCCCCAAUUUUUACAGGUUGACCUCGGAUCAGGUAGGGAUACCCGCUGAACUUAAGCAUAUCAAUAAGCGGAGGA
rnacentral:misc_RNA from 1 species